GAUGAACGCUGGCGGCGUGCCUAAUACAUGCAAGUCGAGCGAACAGAUAAGGAGCUUGCUCCUUUGACGUUAGCGGCGGACGGGUGAGUAACACGUGGGUAACCUACCUAUAAGACUGGGAUAACUUCGGGAAACCGGAGCUAAUACCGGAUAACAUUUGGAACCGCAUGGUUCUAAAGUGAAAGAUGGUUUUGCUAUCACUUAUAGAUGGACCCGCGCCGUAUUAGCUAGUUGGUAAGGUAACGGCUUACCAAGGCGACGAUACGUAGCCGACCUGAGAGGGUGAUCGGCCACACUGGAACUGAGACACGGUCCAGACUCCUUCGGGAGGCAGCAGUAGGGAAUCUUCCGCAAUGGGCGAAAGCCUGACGGAGCAACGCCGCGUGAGUGAUGAAGGGUUUCGGCUCGUAAAACUCUGUUAUUAGGGAAGAACAAAUGUGUAAGUAACUGUGCACGUCUUGACGGUACCUAAUCAGAAAGCCACGGCUAACUACGUG
rnacentral:rRNA from 1 species